rnacentral:lncRNA from 1 species
CUGUAUUGCAUGAAGCUUUACUGAUGCUAUAUCGUCUUCCAGACUGUAGACUGGUUUGUGAGAUCAUAUACCUCUCUUCAUUCGAUCUGAUUUUCCUUCAAGAAACUUGGCUGUUCAACCCCCCCUACAUACCUGGAUUCACCUCUUACCCCCUUCUAGCCUUUAAAAUUCAUUCUAAAGGUCGCCCCUGUGUAGGACUCUGCUAUUUAAUACGGCACUCCCUCAGCCAUCUCUUAACUCCUCAACCUACCCAAUCGUCUUACUUCCAGGCUUUUCUUCUCUCCACCACAUCCUUUCAAACCCUAAUACUUAACAUAUACAUUCCUCCCCCCCCUUUUACCGCCCUUCCGCUCUGGGAUGGAAUCCAACAUUUUACCUCUGACUUUCUCAAACUCAACCCUUCUGUUUUUCUCCUCCUUUUCGGUGAUUUCAACGCCAGACUAGGCCCGGACAAUUCUGCCCUAGCCCAAUACAUGAACUGGGAUCCUGAAGACUCAAUUCCCCCUAUAUUACAAAGACCAAGACAAUCCCAAGACAGUUCCUUUAACCCACAUACCUCCGAGCUGGUAGAUCUCCUCAUAGAGUUUAAUCUAGUAGUUCUAAACGGCUCUUUAGACCAAGACUCACCCGGCAAAUUCACUCACUAUUCUCAUAGAGGGGCCAGUGUACUCGAUUACACCUUAUCUUCCCCUGAAGCCCUCCCCCAAAUCCUCGACUUCCAUGUCGAUAUACGGACAGAAAGUGACCAUUUACCUACAAUCACACUUUUAUCCCUUACCCUUCCCGCUGAGUCAGGCAACUCCCUCCCUACCCCCUACCUCCCACCCCCUCCUAGACUAAGAUGGACCCAUAACUCUGAAGAGUCCUUCAGAGCCUGGACUCACAAAAACGAUGUGAUCGAUCUCAACCAGACCCUAUCCAAGACCAACUCUCCUCAUCUGGCUGUCCUCGUUUAUGAGUCCCUAAUUAAAUCCCUCACCCAAUCCCUCAGCCCCUCCCGACCCCCUUCUACCCAUCCCCACUGUCCAUCCUGGUUUGACUCAGACUGUUUGACAGCCAAGAAACUGACCAGGCAAACUUUCCGUGCAACCCUUGCAGACCCCUCUUCCNNNNNNNNNNNNNNNN